rnacentral:rRNA from 1 species
CAGCUUUAAGCCAUGCGAGUCGAGAGGUGCAAGACCUCGGCGUACUGCUCAGUAACACGUGGACAAUCUGCCCUGGAGUGGAGGAUAAUCCCGGGAAACUGGGGGUAAUACUCCAUAGUUCGUUAUGACUGGAAUGUUUUUCGAACGAAAGAUCCGUCGCUCCAGGAUGAGUCUGCGGCCGAUUAGGUAGUUGUUGGGGUAAAGGCCCAACAAGCCUGUAAUCGGUACGGGUUGUGGGAGCAAGAGCCCGGAGAUGGAUUCUGAGACACGAAUCCAGGCCCUACGGGGCGCAGCAGGCGCGAAAACUUUACAAUGCGGGAAACCGUGAUAAGGAAACCCCGAGUGCCAGCACAGGCUGGCUGUCCGCCAGUGUAAAUAACUGGUGAAGAAAGGGCCGGGCAAGACCGGUGCCAGCCGCCGCGGUAAUACCGGCGGCUCGAGUGGUGGCCACUAUUACUGGGCUUAAAGGGUCCGUAGCUUGAUAUGCAAGUCUCUUGAGAAAUCCGCCGGCUUAACUGGCGGGCGUUCAGGGGAAACUGCAUUUCUAGGGACCGGGAGAGGUGAGAGGUACUGCCGGGGUAGGAGUGAAAUCCUGUAAUCCCGGUGGGACCACCUAUGGCGAAGGCAUCUCACCAGAACGGGUCCGACAGUGAGGGACGAAAGCUGGGGGAGCAAACCGGAUUAGAUACCCGGGUAGUCCCAGCUGUAAACGAUGCGCGUUAGGUGUGUCAGUGACCACGUGUCACUGAGGUGCCGAAGGGAAACCGUGAAACGCGCCGCCUGGGGAGUACGGUCGCAAGGCUGAAACUUAAAGGAAUUGGCGGGGGAGCACCACAACGGGUGGAGCCUGCGGUUUAAUCGGACUCAACGCCGGAAAUCUCACCGGAUAAGACAGCUGAAUGAUAGUCGGGCUGAAGACUCUACUUGACUAGCUGAGAGGUGGUGCAUGGCCAGC